GCAGUCGUACGAGAGUUUUUAACUCAAGUGGCGGACGGGUGAGUAACACGUAAGAAUUUGCCUUUAGGAGGGGGACAACAACUGGAAACGGUUGCUAAUACCCCAUAUGCUUUCGAGUGAAAUGGAUUUUUCCGCCUAGAGAGAAGCUUGCGGCUGAUUAGCUUGUUGGUGAGGUAAUGGCUCACCAAGGCGACGAUCAGUAUCUGGUUUGAGAGGACGAUCAGACACACUGGAACUGAGACACGGUCCAGACUCCUACGGGAGGCAGCAGUGGGGAAUUUUCCGCAAUGGGCGAAAGCCUGACGGAGCAAUACCGCGUGAGGGAUGACGGCCUAUGGGUUGUAAACCUCUUUUUUCAGGGAGGAAUAAAAUGACGUGUGCCUGAAGAAUAAGCAUCGGCUAACUCCGUGCCAGCAGCCGCGGUAAGACGGAGGAUGCAAGUGUUAUCCGGAAUCACUGGGCGUAAAGCGUCUGUAGGUGGUUUAGUAAGUCAACUGUUAAAUCUUGAGGCUCAACCUCAAAAUCGCAGUCGAAACUAUUAGACUAGAGUAUAGUAGGGGUAAAGGGAAUUUCCAGUGGAGCGGUGAAAUGCGUAGAGAUUGGAAAGAACACCGAUGGCGAAGGCACUUUACUGGGCUAUUACUAACACUCAGAGACGAAAGCUA
rnacentral:rRNA from 1 species